CGGGGGGAGCGGGGGGGGGGGAAGGACGCCCUAACGGAGGUUGCCGGCGCUCUGUGCCAGGCUUUCGCCUUUCAGAAUAACGGCCUCAGCUGGAAGACACAAAGGCCAGGGCCUGGAAUCAUCUGAAGACUUACUUGCUCACAUGUAUGGUGGUCGGUGCUAGCUGAAGCCUGAGACCUUAACUGAGACUGUUGGCUGGAAUACCUAAAUAUGAAUGAAGGAUGAACUUGACAGGUGCAAGGACAGAAGAGCACCAGAAGACAAAACCCUGUAAGGGGCCAUGGCACCAUAAUAACAACUCAUGUUUACUAAGUGCACACCACAUGCCAAACAUCAUCCCCUGCAACAGGGGGCUAGAGAAAAAAGGAGCAUCAAAGCCAGUGGGGAAAGCCAGACAGGACUGAGCUGAAUUGUGACUCCACAAAUUACUAUAAUAGUUAUUUGAACAAGGGCAACUUUUCCUCUCUAAAAAGUGUAUGUGUGUGUAUGCAUAGCAUAUGAAAUAAAAAGUAAAAGUUC